GAUGGGGGAGGGGGGAAGAAGCGCAUUUUCACCACUCCCCUAGGGGGGUUGAAUUUGGAUACUUGGGAGGGGAUUAGUGGCGAACGGGUGAGUAACACGUGGGCAAUCUGCCCUGCACUCUGGGACAAGCCCUGGAAACGGGGUCUAAUACCGGAUACUGACCUGCCAAGGCAUCUUGGCGGGUCGAAAGCUCCGGCGGUGCAGGAUGAGCCCGCGGCCUAUCAGCUUGUUGGUGAGGUAAUGGCUCACCAAGGCGACGACGGGUAGCCGGCCUGAGAGGGCGACCGGCCACACUGGGACUGAGACACGGCCCAGACUCCUACGGGAGGCAGCAGUGGGGAAUAUUGCACAAUGGGCGAAAGCCUGAUGCAGCGACGCCGCGUGAGGGAUGACGGCCUUCGGGUUGUAAACCUCUUUCAGCAGGGAAGAAGCGAAAGUGACGGUACCUGCAGAAGAAGCGCCGGCUAACUACGUGCCAGCAGCCGCGGUAAUACGUAGGGCGCAAGCGUUGUCCGGAAUUAUUGGGCGUAAAGAGCUCGUAGGCGGCUUGUCGCGUCGGUUGUGAAAGCCCGGGGCUUAACCCCGGGUCUGCAGUCGAUACGGGCAGGCUAGAGUUCGGUAGGGGAGAUCGGAAUUCCUGGUGUAGCGGUGAAAUGCGCAGAUAUCAGGAGGAACACCGGUGGCGAAGGCGGAUCUCUGGGCCGAUACUGACGCUGAGGAGCGAAAGCGUGGGGAGCGAACAGGAUUAGAUACCCUGGUAGUCCACGCCGUAAACGGUGGGCACUAGGUGUGGGCAACAUUCCACGUUGUCCGUGCCGCAGCUAACGCAUUAAGUGCCCCGCCCUGGGGGAGUACGGGCCGCAAGGGCCUAAAAAACUCAAAGGAAAUUGAACGGGGGGGUCCGGCAACAAGCGGGGCGGAGCAUGGUUGGGGCCCUUUUAUAGU
rnacentral:rRNA from 1 species